AUGGAGAAGAGAAAUCACCUCCGUUGGCCCUCUGCGAUAUCCUUUGGAAUGGUGGGAUUCAAAGAGACUUAUACAGCAGGUACAUACUACGUAUUAUCAACCCAAAUUUGGUCAAAGUUUCCAUCGCCUUCUUUUGAUUUAUUUAUUUACUUACAAUUGGGUAAGUUUCAAUUAAUUGUUUUUUCUCAAUUAUUUCAUUGUCAUAAGAAUUAACUCUCCAAAAGGAAACAUGGCAUAAUGCUUGAAAUUUUUUGUUUUCUAUACUUUGUAUUUUCUUUAUCGUUUUUACUAGGUAGGGUUAAUAGUUAAUACACUCAUUUUCUUUAUCGUUAAUUAUUUCAAUGUAUGUUUAUUAGGUACGGUCUUGGUUUUUUACAGAUAGCAAGAUGACUAUCUGUCAGAAAGUGUUUUACUAAAAAGAAAUUAAAUAGCCUCACUGCCAAAAGAUUAACAAAGAUGAAUGGACUUCUUGUUCUUAUUUCACUGGUUUAAACAAGGAUGGUUUACUCUUCGAUUAGGUUGCUUAUGUUGCUAGUCUUAAGCACUUUUGAUGAUGAUAUUGUAGUCUGAACUCUGAAAUUCAUCGUUUUUGUAAAGGUUUCAGACUCAUUACUACCAAAAUGGAUCUCUACAGAUAAAUUUAAUAGUCGGGAAGCGAUACAAUUGCAAAGACUGUUUGGAGGAACGUAUUGUCACUGAGGGAGGCUUAGGGCGUACUUGCUCCAAGCGUUUAGAUCUUGUGUAUCAGAAUCACAUACUGUACGUGUGAACUUAUUGUGAUUGAUCGUACAUCGUGACGAUGCUUCAGCAGCUGCAAAAUAUGGUCUUGUUUUUGCGAUAACUACCAAAAUUGAAAAAUCAAUCAGCACCACCAGCUCUUCAGUAUAUAUAUAUAUCGGAGGAAGCUGAAAAUGGCUGGAUUUUCUGAAGGGGGAUCAUGCCUAUGCCAAAAAUAUCAUUUAAUGAGGUUCUGGUUAAUGCAUCAAAAGCCGGUGUGUAUAAAUACAAUUCUCAAUGCCCAUAUUUCACACAUUCUCCCUGUUCUGUGUUCUGAACGGAUCUGCAAUCCAGGUUAAAUUGUGCCAGUGUUCACCAGUUUCCCUGUUUUGACUUAAUUAGAGUUCCCUAGUUAAACUGAUACAUUAUGAACAUUGUAUUUAUCCUUUGUGUAGCUGUUUAACCAUGAGGGCAUUUGAUUUGUAACCAUGUCUCACUCUUCAUAGCACGGGUAGCUUGUUUAUGCAGCGAUUAUUUGCAAAGACUCCUAUUAUGUUCUUAUUCUCUUGUUUUCAUCACCUGCCUCUUUCUGCUGACCUCUCCUGUUGUCUCUUUACUUUCAGGGUAACUAAACCUUUCAAGGAUCAAUCAUACAGAACUUGAAACUUUCAGGGUUUCAUUCAAA
rnacentral:lncRNA from 1 species